AUUGAACGCUGGCGGCAUGCCUUACACAUGCAAGUCGAACGGUAACAGGUCUUCGGACGCUGACGAGUGGCGAACGGGUGAGUAAUACAUCGGAACGUGCCCAGUCGUGGGGGAUAACUACUCGAAAGAGUAGCUAAUACCGCAUACGAUCUGAGGAUGAAAGCGGGGGACCUUCGGGCCUCGCGCGAUUGGAGCGGCCGAUGGCAGAUUAGGUAGUUGGUGGGAUAAAAGCUUACCAAGCCGACGAUCUGUAGCUGGUCUGAGAGGACGACCAGCCACACUGGGACUGAGACACGGCCCAGACUCCUACGGGAGGCAGCAGUGGGGAAUUUUGGACAAUGGGCGAAAGCCUGAUCCAGCAAUGCCGCGUGCAGGAUGAAGGCCUUCGGGUUGUAAACUGCUUUUGUACGGAACGAAAAAGCUUCUCCUAAUACGAGAGGCCCAUGACGGUACCGUAAGAAUAAGCACCGGCUAACUACGUGCCAGCAGCCGCAGUAA
rnacentral:rRNA from 1 species